GAGCAGAGACCCCGAGAGUCCCCUGUGGCCAUGGUACCAAUGCUGGGCUCGGCGCUUGUGCUGGUUUUUGUUUCAGGCGCCCCGGGCAGAGCCGAGAUCCGGCAGCCGCGCUCCGCAGAAGCUUUGGACGGAGCCGAACUGAACCUCACCUGCUCUCACGGUUCCGUAACAACUGAAACUAUAGUUUGGUACCGGCAGUUCGCGAGCCGAGGGCCCCAGUAUAUAGUCUCGGGAUACCAGGGAAUCGUUAACAGCAUCGACCCAGAGGGAGCUUUGCACAUUCCUGAAGACAGAAAAUCCAGCACAUUGUCCCUGCGCAGGGUGCGGCUGGCAGACGCAGCGGUGUAUUAUUGUGCUCUGAGCGACACAGUGUGA